CCUACGGGAGGCAGCAGUGGGGAAUAUUGCGCAAUGGGCGAAAGCCUGACGCAGCGACGCCGCGUGAGGGAUGAAGGCCUUCGGAUCGUAAACCUCUGUCAGCAGGGAAGAACGGUCACUGUGCUAAUCAGCAGUGAAUUGACGGUACCUGCAAAGGAAGCACCGGCUAACUCCGUGCCAGCAGCCGCGGUAAUACGGAGGGUGCGAGCGUUGAUCGGUAUUACUGGGCGUAAAGCGCUCGUGGGCGGUAGGGCAAGUCAAGGGUGAAAUCCCCGCGCUCAACGUGGGAACUGCCUUUGAAACUGGCAAACUUGAGUGUGUGAGAGGAUAGUGGAAUUCCAGGUGUAGGGGUGAAAUCCGUAGAUAUCUGGAGGAACAUCAGUGGCGAAGGCGACUAUCUGGCACAUAACUGACGCUGAGGAGCGAAAGCGUGGGUAGCAAACAGGAUUAGAUACCCGGGUAGUC
rnacentral:rRNA from 1 species